rnacentral:rRNA from 1 species
GCAGUUGCCACGGGAAUACGUAGGUGGCAAGCGUUGUCCGGAUUUAUUGGGCGUAAAGCGAGCGCAGGCGGUUUCUUAAGUCUGAUGUGAAAGCCCCCGGCUCAACCGGGGAGGGUCAUUGGAAACUGGGAGACUUGAGUGCAGAAGAGGAGAGUGGAAUUCCAUGUGUAGCGGUGAAAUGCGUAGAUAUAUGGAGGAACACCAGUGGCGAAGGCGGCUCUCUGGUCUGUAACUGACGCUGAGGCUCGAAAGCGUGGGGAGCGAACAGGAUUAGAUACCCCCGUAGUCCCUGUCUCUUAUAA